AUAAUGCCAUUUAAGGCAAGUCAGAAAUGCUCCUGCAACCUCCCCGAUAUAUCUGUGUCGCCAGGAAAGGCUGUCAUUUUGAUUUCGAUCAAUGGCAGGUACGAUUUGCAUCUGCCAUUGUUUCAGUGCCACAAAUGCAGCCAGCAGUGGUCUCCCGAGUUUGGGGAUGUGGUGGGAAGUGGGUACUGGCCAGCCUCCACCUGUGCUAAGACAUAUUACACACUGGACCUCUUUAGCUCCUUUGGAGAGCUUAAAGUCAUUGAACCAACACUGUCCAGGCAGGCUUUUACCAAACUUCUGGAGCACAGAACAAGAUGUGCUGGGAGGUCAGGACCUGUGUCUGCUGACAGUCUGCAGAGGAGCUUCCUGGAGUUCUCCAAUUGCCAGUCCGAGCAGGAGCAGCGAAGAGGGGAAACCUCACUUGGAAAAGAAAGCUGUACUGCUUCAAAAGCGUAAGGGAAUGAAGCAACAACGGCUACAGUGGGAGCCAUAUCCAGACUGCAGCGUACACGGACCGCAGCCCUAAACCUCCCAGCAACUCGCCAUGAAAGGAGGCUGCACGAUGCAACGUUUUAGUUGUUUUGUUUUUUGUUUUGUUUUGUUUGUGCUUGAUUGAGGCACUUUUGUUAUUAUU